rnacentral:lncRNA from 1 species
UAAAGACGUUAUAAAUAUAAUAAUAUAAAUAAAUAAAAUGCAUGCAGUUAUAGCAACUACCGCUGUAUCUGUGUAUGUAUUUGAAUAAGUUAUGCGUGUACUCAUCGUGUAUAACCUACUAGUUAUGCACUUUUAUCUUAUGGAAUAAAACUUUAAUCAAUAAUUACCUUGGCCCAUUUUCUUUUUCAUUUAUCGUAUUUGUGCAAAAACUGAAAAUAUUGCAUUUAUAUAUUUGUUUAGAUAAUUUUGGUGUAAGAGAUUAUGAGCUGAGCAUGUGUUAAAACCUCUGUUAAUAGUGAAAAAUCUUAAGUUGCUAUCAUUUGGGAAUUGGCCGUAAGGCUUGUGGCUUUGAGCCGAACUAAAAUAAAUCUGGUGUAUUUCUUUCUUAUCAUUUAUCUCUUGUUUUUAUUUAUUAAUUUGUUAUCUAUCAUCAUCUUCUUAUAAUAUAUUCUUAAAAUGGUUAUUAAGGAGGGUAAAAAGCUUCAAAAAGAUGUUGUUGUGCAGUAACUAUUUGUAAGAAUUAAUAUUAAGAGGGUUCUUAAAUAGGGUGUGACCAUAUAACUCCUUUCUUAUUCUUUUAGAUGGUUGAAGGUUUGAGUUAGUUGUUUCGGGAUCCUAAGUCCCGUAGUUUAUUCAAAAAUUUCUUCGUGGAGGAUUUUGUAUUACCUCUCUCUCUUUUGGUGAAUGUAGAUGAUACUCUUCUUAUUGGAUAAGUCAUCACGAAUAAUGAUAACUCAUUUACUAUGUGAUAUUUUAACUCUUAAUAUUUGGAUUAUUUAUUAAAGUCUAACUUAAUUAGGGUUACUUCUUUGAAGUUUAUUUGCAUUUAGCUUAAUUAGUGAUCAAUACAUCAGAUUCUCUUUCUUUAAUUUUUAUGAGUUUCAUAAUUUUAAUUAGUAUCCUUGUUGACAAUUUAUGUCACGUGAAAGUAUAAAACCAAUACCAAACAUGCUUUAAGCCAGAAAUAUCACAUAGAGAACUUGAGUGAUGUCUCCUCCAUAUGUUGUGUACUAUAGUACCAGAACUAGAAGACAAUGGAAUAUGUGUUAUUCCAUAGGCUCAAACCAUUGGAUUAUCAUAAGUUACAAGACCUAAGCAUUUAGACAACACUCAUGUUGAAUAAUAUAUAUAUAUAUAUAUAUAAGUAUCUUCUUUGGGACGAGUGAAGGGAUUCAGAAAAUUACAACAUAAUCAAGCAUGGCAUAAGACACCUCUCGUUGGUGGGUGAAAGUCGCAAGUAGUUGAAGUGUCAAUCUUAGGUUUACUAUUCAUUUAUUUUAUGUUUAGAAAUGUUUAACUUAGGACCCUAUUUUGUUGUAUUUAAUUUGAUCUCUACUUAAACUCCUUAUGUUGGUUAAUGUGAAGUUUAAUGAUAUGAUAAUAUUUUGGGUGGUAGGAAAUAAUAUUAGUGAUUUUUUUUCAUAUGUAUUUGUGAUAUAUAUCUUUUUAAUUUACCGGUCAUCUUAGAACUAGAUAACAGUUUAUGAGUGUACAUUCCGAGAUUUUUAUGAGGUCGGACAGCGAGUUCCAUGCACAUUCUAGACUCAAUUCACCGGAGCUCUAAAAGGAUCGUCCAAAUCUGAGUCGUUAUGGCAUUCCUGAAACAACCAAUGGCCGAAUCCGUUACAGAACAUUUAAUGAUGAGUCGGUUAUGAGACUUUUUCUUUUAAAAGAAUGUCAAUUGGACUACGUAAUGCUCAUGUAACAUUUCACUGAUGUAUGAUUGCAAUAAUUUCUAAGCUCAAUGGAUAUUUCAAGGAAGUCUUCAUGGAUGAUUUUUCUAUUUUUGGAGAAUCAUUCUAAAAUUUCAUGGAAAAACUAGAAUUGGUUUUGAAAAGAUAAGAAGAGAAUAGUUUGAUCUUAAGCUGGGAGAAAUUUCACUUCAUGGUGAAAUAAUGUAUAUUUCUUGGUCACUAGAUCUCAAAAUAAGGAUUGAAAGUGGGUUAUGCUAAGAUUGAGGUCAUUGAGAAGCUACCACCAUCUACAAAUGUCAAAGGAAUUAGAAGUUUUCUUGAUCAUAUUGGUUCCUUGGUAGCUUGUUUUUGAUGAAGACAAGAGAUUAUAUUAGAAGAAAUAUCAAAGAAGAAAAAGAUGGAAUCACAGUUUUAAGUUUGCAUAAAUACUAAAAAUGAGAAACAAAAUAUAUAAUCCAAAUAUGAGAUAUUUUUCAAUUCUUGUACAGAAAUACUAAAAAUGAGAAACAAAAUAUAUAAUCCAAGAAAAUAAGUAGUGAAAUGUUGGAAAGGAAAUGAUUGAUUACUUUUUAUUCCAUAUGAUGUGAUAAAAGUGCAUAACAAACACGUUAUACACGAUAUUGAGUACACACAUAGAACUCAGAAACAAGACUUGUUUAUUUAUUUAUAUUAUAGUAUUCUAUAUGGGUGUUGUUGGUGUUGGAGAAAAGGGAUUUAACAGUUUUUAGUGCACCAACAGCGAAAGUCAUCCCUGCAUCUGCCGCUAAUUGCGCCCUCUUGUGUUCUACAGUGACGGUCACAUCCACCGAAGCAUACUCCCUUAUAUGAACCAGCCAAAUUCUCACAUGUGUUUGCUUCACUCACCACUAUUUCUUCUGCAUCAUCCAAAUACAAUUUAGAUUAAAUAAAUAUAAGAAAUGCAUUAUAUAAUAAUUAAUUAAUAUACAAGAAUGAUGAGUUAAUUACGUGCAACAAAGAGAACGAGGAGGAGGAAGGACAAGCAAGCUAGUGACUUCUUCUCCAUGGCUUAAGUAGUGAUGAAUAUAAAAACUUAAUAUGACUCACUUCACUUAAUGUGUUAUGUGUGUGUUUGUGUGAUAUAUGUGAUGAUUGUAAAACUCUUAUAUAUAGCCCCAAAGGGCUUGACUAGUAAGAGACAUCACAAUAUAUAUGACAGUGAGGUUUCUGAAGAUAGAAGAGACAUCACAAUAAUCAAGUUUGUAUUCUCAUCAUGGAGAAAAGUCUAUAAUGUGGGGCGUGUACUAUUAGAUACAUUAUUUGAUACCUAUAAGAAAAAAAACACAAUAAUAAAUACAACAAUUUAUUCUAAAAUUCAAGAAAAAACUAAAAAUAUGUUUGGAUGAAAUAUUUUAAUGAGAGAAAGUAAUAUUUUAAGAGAAUUUAAGAUGAUUUGAUAAAAAAAAUUAUUUGGAUUAAAAUUGUUAAAAUGAUAUAAAUUUAUAAAAUAUUAUAUUUAAAUAAGUUUAAAUGAAUUUCAAAUGACACAAAAAAUAAAAUUUUUGAAAUUGAUCAUUCACUCUAUAUAAUGCAAAUGUUAAAAUUAUUAUUAUUAAUAUUUCAAAUUUUGAAAGAUGGUCUUCAUAUUUUAUGAAAAAUUCAAAUUUACUCGCAAAAUUUUCAACAAACUGCAAAUAAGUCUAAUAAUUUUUAAAUUUUACAAAUUGAGCUUUAAAUUUUUUAAAAAUUGCAAAUUGGUCUCAAUUUCUCAUAUUUUGAAAAUUUGACCCAAAAUAUUUAAAAUGUAUGAAAAUGACCUAAAAAAUUUAACAAUGAAUCGUUUUAAUACUUUAUCCAAACAAAAGAAUUUAAAACAUGAAUGGAUUUCAAUUGAAUCAUUUAAAUUGCUAAGGAUUUUAAAUUCCUUAAAAAUUCUCAAUUGCAUCAUCCAAACAAACUCUAAAAUCAUUGUCAAAUGACAAUAAAAGAAUAAUAUUACAUAAAAAUUAUUACAACAUAUAGACUAUUUUCAACCACUCCAAUAAUUUUUAAUUCAUCGACAAUAACAUUUAGAACACUUGGAUGAUUAUAUACUUUCAUAUUUUCAUCCGUACGCAAACUAUGAAGUUGCUUCUUCAACAACAACGGUUAUGAAAUACAUUUUCCUUGAUAUAUCCCUUCAAGUCUCUCCCAAACUUCUUUAGGGGAUGACAUACCAAGAAUAUUCGCAAGAAUAUUACCCGCCAAAGACAUGUAUAUUAUACUAAAAUCUCUCAAAUGUAGUCCUUCCACUUCACGUUGUCCAUAUUGGAAAUAUUUAUUUUUAAUGUCAGAAACAUAUCAAUCUAUUCGAUUAAAAAAAUUACCAAACCAAAAAUAAUAAUAAUAAUAAAAUCACUAAACAUCUUAGCAUAUUUACAAGGGUGAACAUAUUCGAUUGAAGAAUGAAGAUCAUGAAUGGUACUAACAAAAAAGUGACUUGCAGUUGAGAUAACGAGUAACGAGAUUGAUGAAUAUGCUCUUCUCGUUUUUGCUGCAUGUGACACAUUCAAAAUAUAUGAAAAUAUUAACAGUAAGAAAUUUUGAUUCGCGAUGAAGAGAAUCGUUCAAUUUAAACGUUAAAGGAUAUGAAUGAAGAGUGAGGACCUUAUUUGGGACAAUGCAGCGGCGGAGGAUUGAAGGUUGGAAAGUUUAUUUACGUUGGCGGAGCUAAAGAAAGCGGUGGCCAUUGACGGAAGGUUCUAGAAUUUAUGGAGAUUAGCACGAGAGCGGGGUUCUAAUCUUUUCUGUAACUUCGGUUUUUGAUUGAAGUUAACCAAAAUAGCAAAAUAAAGUUGUUGUGUGAAAAUCAUCUUAAAAGAUAAAUUAAUAAAUUAUAUAUAAAUUCCUUGUCUCAAUAUGAGGUGCAACGUGGGUUCGAUCCCACCUCUUAAAAUCUACGCAGAUUUUAUUUUUAUAUCUUUUAUUUAUUUUAGUUUUCAAGAAAAUAUCUUCAACCACGUGAUAUAGUGAAGUGAAAAUCACGUGACAAAGAAAGGGGGUUGCGACGUGAAUAUCCCGUGGCUACUUAUUUUUAUUAUUAAAAUUUGAGACUGCUGCAUGCACAUGAGAAACACAUAAAAAAAUUUAAACAAAAUGUUGUGACGUGUUAAUCACGCCGCAGAUUUAAAAAUAAAAUAAAAAAAUAAAAGAAGUCAGACGUGUACAGAUUAACACAUGGGAAAGAUGAAAAGUAAUUUUAAACAAAAUGUUGUGAUGUGGUAAUCUUGUCGCAACUUGAAAAGUAAAAUAAAUUAAGUGAAAAAAGUCAGGCGUGCACAGUUAGCAGGUGGGGGAAGAUUUCAAAAUUUUAGUUGUGACGUGAAAAUCACGUCGCAACUUGAAAUUCAAAAACUAAAAAAAAAAAAAAAGGAGGGACGCUGGCUUGAUAUGGGUCGUUUGACUGACAUAUUUAUUUGACCGUUAGGGAGUUGCGACGUGAAUUUGACUUCACAAGUUGCGACGUGAAUUUCAGGUGGCUAAUUUAGCUAUAUAAAUUGCAUUUUUUCUCUCACGUCCAGAUUCAAGAGUUAGUAGUACAUCUCUUCUUCCCUCAAUUUCUUCCUCUUCUUCAUUCAUCUCAAUUCAUUUCAUAAACAUAUUUCAUCUUCAAAUUUCUUUCCCCAAUAUUAUCUUUCUUAAAAGGUAUUUAGAGAUAAUUUGAUUUUUCCAUUUUUUAUUUGUUAAAUGUUAUGUUGAUUUUUUAAUUGUAUAACUAAUAUUGUUAAUUUUUUUCUCCAAGAUUCAGCAAGAUAUAUCACGAUUCAAGCAUCAAGGUUCAAGAUUCGAGUUUGUGUUUAUCUUCAUUAAGGUAUUUCAGAAAUUUAUUAAUUUUUUUUUCAUAUUUUAAAUAUAUAUGGUUCUUGGUUGUUAUUGUAAAUUUAUUAUGUAGGUUUUUUUUUAAACGCAGAAUAUUAUCAUAAUAGAUAUAUAGUUAUUAAUAUAUUUGAACAGAAUUUUUUUAUAAAAAAAUAGAAUUUAAGUUUUUAAUAAUAUAUUAUUCUAUUUACAAAUUAUUUUUUAAAGAUGGAAAUUAUUUUUCAUAAUAUAUUAUUAAAAUACAUUAUUUUUCAGAAUAUUAUUUUUCAUAAUAUAUUAAUUUCGUAAUAUAUUACAUUUAAAAUAAAAACAUAAUAUAUGUUUAUAAUAUAUUAUUUUUUGUAAUAUAUUAUUUUUAUAUUAUAUUAAAUUUUUUAUUUUAAAUAAAAAUAGAACAUAUUAUAUUUGAUUUUUAUUUUAUGGUAGAUAAUUGAAAACAUAAAAUAUUAUAUAAACAAAAUAUUAAACCUAGAAUUUAUUAAAACUAGAAUUUUAAUUUUUAGUUUUUGUAAGAUAUUAAUUAUUCUUUUUAGUAUAUUAUAAAAUUAUUAUUUAAAAAAUUUACUAUUACUUUAUAUUUAAAAAACCAAAACCAAAUUAUUAUUUAUUUUGUAUUUAUUUAUAUUAAAGAAAUUUAUUAUUAAUUUUAGUAUAUUAAAAAGUAAAACAUUAAUUACAAUUUUUUAUUUUAUAGAAAAAUCAAAGUUGUGAAGUGAUGUUCACUUCACAACUUUGCCACUUGAUAAUCAUUUUACAACUUUGCCACGUGAUAAUCACGUCGCAAGUCAUUGUCCACUUAUCUGCCAUCCUUGCUACUCUGAAUUACAGCAGAUAAAGCUGAAAAACAUGUUGUUAAGUGAUUUUCACGUGGCAACAUAGUUGCCACCCGUGCUCCUGCCGCAUAAAAGUUCAUGUCACAAAAACGUGUUGUGAAGUGAUUUUUCAUAUUGUGACGUGAAUAUCAACAUUUUUUUAAAAUAACCACUUUUUUCAAUUUAAGUACUUAAAUAACCUAUUCAAAUUAAUUACCGAAAUAACCACCUUUCAUUACUUAUGUGCCAGUUGAAUUGGCACAUCUAGUUGACAUUCAAAGGAGGCACACAAUCCAUUGGCGCAUGCAUGCGGUCAAGCAUGUGAAGGCGUCAUAUGCAAUGGCAUAUGCAUGUGAAUGCGCCACAUGCAUUGACGCAUGCAUGUAGGCAUGUGAGUGAGCGCCACAUGCAUUGGCACAUGCAUGUGCCAUGUGUGUGUGCGUCUAAGACAAUGACACAUGCAUGUGUGUGCUAAUCUAUAAAUACAAAGCGUAUCUCCCAUAUUUUUUCACACAACUUCUUACCCUCCUUCCAUUUUUCUUCAAUCUCCUUCAAUUUUCUUUUCUGUAAAAUGUCUGAAUAUUCAUAUAUUCAUAAGAAAAAUGUCGAUUUAAUCUUUUCAGUAGUGCAACCUCCGAUAAAGAUCCGUUUUUGGAAUAUAUAAACGUUUGAACGUCUUAAUAGGACCUUGAAUCGUUGGUUAGAUGAAUAAAUUGCAGAGGGUGAAAGGAUCACAAGAAUUCAAUGGGUUGAUACCAUGUCCAACCAAAAUGGAGAAGUUGGUGUAUGUGUGAAUAUUAAGACUGAUAGAGACGUUUACAGAAUGAUGUAUACUAAUUAUAAAAUUGUUUUGAUGAUUGUAAUUGCAUAGUUAUGUUGUUGUAAUUGCAUAGUUAUAUUGUUUAUGUGUUGUAUUUGUUAGUGAUUGUAUUUUAUUUGUUGUAGUUUGUUGUGUUGUUGUUUAAGUGUUGCUUAUGUGUUGUAUUUGUUUGUGAUGGUAUUUCCUCAUAAAGUUAUCAUAUGAAAUGAAUGUUGUUUUUAAUAUAAAGCAAAAGAGUUACAAUUAAAAUUAUCUUUUUGUGCUUGUUCCAACACUGGGACAGUUAGUACGAUUAUGACCGGGCUGGUGACAUGAACUACAUAAUCUAACCAUUUUGUUUGUCGUAUCCAUUUCGGUUUGAAUAUGGCUGCUGUUUGGGUUACCCUUUUCUUUCUUCGUAUUAUUUCAUUAUGCCAGAGAAUGUCUCCUAGAUAUGCAGGCCAGUAAUCCUCUUUUGCUACCACUGAAAGUAGAAUGGAUCACAUCGAACCUUUGAACACGUCGUUAUGACAUGGGAGCAGGCCAUACGAAAGACUUGGAACUUUCCGCAGUCGCACCAACCUCUAUAUAGUUCCACUCGACAAUGUCCCCUCGGUAUGCCUUGAUUGUGAUCCAUGGACUCAGCAACACUAUACCAACUUUUAGUACAAUCAAACACUGUGACCACAUGUGUGUUAGGCCGGGGAGCAACGUCCAAUUAGAUAUUUUUAGGAAAAAACUCCAUCCCUUAGCAGUCUCCCCUUCAACUAGGGAAAAUGCGGUUGGAAAAAUGUUGAUGUUGUCAUCUUGUGCCACUUCCAUCAGUAGCGUUCCUUUAUAUUUCUCAUACAACCAUGUACCAUCAAUUCAUAUAAUAGGUUUAUAGAAAUCAAAACCGUUGAUGCAUGGUUGAUACGCCUAGAAGAGUCGGUGGAAUAUUCCAUUACCAAUAGCACAAGCCCUGUCUGGGGUAUACGCCGAUAACGUUUCCAAAUUGACAAUAGUCUUUGGAGCAUAAUGUUUAAGAUCCACCAAGUAUUUUGGAAGUUGUUUGUAAGACUUCUCCCAAUUACCAAACACCUUUUAAGCUGCCUUAGUCCAAGCUAUCCAAGCCUUCCUGUAUGAUGGAGUAUAGUUGUAUUGUGUUACAAUAUGAGAGAUUUUUGUACUCAUCUUUAACAACGGAUUAUCGCUAAUGACAAACAAAAUUUCGUCGCAUAUUAACUGAGAGCUAAGUUUGCGAUGGUAUUGCAUUGGGUUUGUGAUUAAGCAUGUGUGAACUAGAGCCAUAUAACCAAUCUCCCAAGAAUCACUCCUCUUCCGGUAAGAUGCUGACAACCCGAACAAGUGGAGCUCAUUUUGACAAUAAAUCUUAUACCUUGUUGCAUUAGUUCGAUCAACCCUAUAAUAAGCUGAUAAUUCCAUGUGAUACUUUUUAAUGGCUCUGACACAAUCUUCUUUUGUGUGAAAUUUGUCUCCUUCUUUCAAUGAUCCUUGAAUUUGCACAUAAGGAUUGCCAAAUAUAUCUGACGAAGGUUCAUCUGCACCCAAAUUCAAGCUUGUCAUGUGUUGAGGUGGACAAUAUACAUGACUAGUUGGUAAUCUCUCUUCUUCUUCAUCAUCAUUCACCAUUGAAUCAACCAAUAACUCGGGUUCUUUUUCUUCCUCGUAAACAAAAUUAACUUCAGCUUGUUCAUCGUCAUCAGUUUCAUAAAACACUUGUGACAGAUCAACGAAAUGAGACACUUGAUGUUGUUGUGUUAAUAUAUAUAACUUUAUAUCAUUGUACCCAGAUUGUUCAUGACUGGUGUUCAGCUGUUUUUUCCCAUCUAUAUAGUUCGUUGCGUAAAAAUGCCAAAAAAAAAUACUUGUAAGUUUUAUUCUUGCGCCUAUUUUCUACGAGCAUGGGGUUGGUCAAGACUGUCGUCACUCACCCCGAUCAACGAAAAGCCAUUCACAUUCCUCUAUGAAAAGUAAGUUUAAAAUUUUACCAUCUAAUUUAUUAUAUUUUAUACUACAACUAACUGUAACUAAUAUAUUUCCAAACUUUUCGAUCUAGGUGGUCAGUUAAAGGGAUGAACUACAACAUGUGUCCCAAACACGUUGUAGUAGUCUAUCGUAAUCUUUUAGACCACAUUGGACCAGACGAUGUAAUACUACUACACAACUCUACAUUUGAUUUAAAAAAAAUAAUCCAAUUACACAUCCUCUAAUCAUGUCAUAUUCUUGUACAGUUUAUCUGGAGGCCAUAUCUAGGUUUUGAUCAUCAGGUUAACCAUGAUGAUGUUUCAGUUUGGACAACAAAAAAACCAAUUAUCCGGUUCACUACUGUUAGAAUCCUCUUUUAUCUUGAAUGUGGAAGUUAGAAACCUCUUUGUUUCUAAUAUUCCAUUCAUCUUGUUGCUAAUGAAGUUACAAAAACCUGUUUGUUUCUAAAAUUUCAUUCAUCUCGUUGCUAAUGGUCAAUCAUAUAUUCAACAUGGAGACAUAGGAAUAUCACAAUACUCUUACAUUACUUUGUGUACAUAGACUUAUCACAAGAGUUAGAUGAAGUAAUAUUUUAGAUGAUCAUGUAUGACGACACAAGAAGGUUUUAGAUGAAGUGAGAUAUAAGAUUCUGAGAAAUUUAAAGUAGUCUAGUAUGAAUUGCAAUGAGUACCUUAGUUAUGUUCACUUCUCCUAAAACAUCACUUGAAUUUCUAUGUUAAACCUUCUUAAUAAACUUCUCUCAAAUCUUUUCUUCUUUGAUAAUAUUUGUCUUCAUCAAAACUGAACUUGAAAUAAGUUGUAUUCUUCAUAAUCUCCCCUUUUUGAUGAUGACAAAAUAUUUGAAUUUGUGUUUUGAUAAUGAUUGAAAAGUUCCCCAAAAGUUGUGUGUACUUCCUUUAAUUUGUGAAUCCUUACAAUGACAAAGUAAAACUGAAAGCAUAUAACCUUUUGAUUUCUCCAUGUAAAAUCUUCUCAUCGAGAUCUGUAUGAUGUUUUGACAUCCAUUUGGUGAACUCCAAGAAAGCUAGUUCAAACGAAACUCUAAUUUUUUAUGUGCUUGCUUCUAGUGUAUAUGUAUCAAAAUAAUCAACACAUUCCUUUUGUCUAAAACCUUUGACAAGCUAGUCUCUAUUCAUUGUAUAUUUUUAGUGUACCAUCACUAUGAUACUUUCUUCUAAACCCCCACUUGUACUCAAUGGAUCUUGAUAUCUUAAUUGGAUCGACAAGUUCCCUAGUAUAGUUUGACAUUACUGAAUCCAUUUCGUCUUGGAUAAAAUCAUGCCAAAAGGAUGAGUCCUUUGAAGUUAAUACUUCCUUGUAAAUUCUAGGAUCAUCUUCCACUUGAAGAAUAAUAGGAAUUUUACGGAAAAAAUUCUCACUAUUUCUAUUUGAUAUAAGAAAUAAGCCGAGAAUUGAUUUUUCGGUCCUAGAUCCUUAGUCUUUCAGAAUCUCUUGUUUAUUCUAAGUUAGUGUUGUUUUUCAACCAUCCAUGAAGAACUUUCAGUUUGUGUUUCAAUAAUCCGUUAAGAACCUACUCAUGAGGUUCUUCAAUUAUGGGAAUCUCGAAAUCCUUAUCCUCCGCGAUAAGGUUCUCAAAAUUCCACAUCUCAAGAUUCAAUAGUUGCAUUAAACUCCAAAUUCAUAGGUUUAUAUAAGUUAUGAUCAUUUUUUGGAUAAUCUUUAUAUGUCAUGUAAUAAUAUAUCUCAUUAAACACAAACAUGUUAUUCACAUAUAAUUCAAAUCAAAAUUCAAUUGCACAAUUUGAAAUCAUUAAAGGUAAUAAUAUGUCUCAUUGAACACAAAUCAUGAACUUUAAGAUUAAGUUGCAUUUCAUAUUAAGCAUACGGAAACAGAAAUCACAUUAUGCUUUUAGUAUGUAUAAUUAACAUUACACAUCUACAUCACAUUAAGGGUGGCAAACGGGCAUGCACGUUCCAUUUAAGCCCGCCCCUCAAAAGCUCGAAAAAAACGGGGCGGAGCGAAGCGGUCAUAGUUGAGGAUGUGGACCUAAAAUUUAGGUCCGUCCUGCAAAAAAAGUGAGGGCGGGGCGGGGAAAGCCCGUGAGCACUGCAUUUUUUAAACCUAAAAAUAUAAAAAUUUAUGUAAAUAAAUGUGCCCGCAAAAGCCUACGAAAAAAACAUGGCGAGGUGUGACGGACACAUUAGAGGGUGAGGGCCUAAAUCCUUGACCCGCCCCGUACUAAAGUGCGGGCAAAACGGACAUGUCCGGCGAAACGGACCCGUUUUGCCACCGCUACAUCACAUGCAUAUAUUAUAGAUAGUGAUUUAAUUGUUUCUAACAAGUAACAACUAAAGGAAUCAUUCUCAGAAUGAUCAUAAUUAAAAAUAAAUAUUAUUUUCGUUUUUUACUAGUAUUGACAGGAAGAGCAUUUUAAUUUUGAUUAACGAUGCGAUGGUCUGUUUAUAAUUGAAACCGAUAUUGUCUUUUUUUUUCAACUCCAUUGAUUGUAAUCUUUUAAGAAUUUAUUCAUAAUCUAAUAUCUUUCAAUAAGACAAUAUUGUAUCUAAGAAAGAUUACCAAAGUAUCUAUUAGGCAGACAAGUAUAUCUCAUUCAAUUAGGAGGUUGUCGCUUUUGAGUGUUUUAUUUCAACCAUCACUACCGAUUUAUAUAAAAAUAACUUAACAACCUUCACAACCGAUAUAUUCAUAUCAGUUAUAUAUUCAUUUAAACAGAGAGUUACAGAAAGUUAAUUAAUUGUUUUCAUUAUUUAACCUAUUACAUAGGUUUGAAUCAUUCAUUCUAGACAAAUUUUAUUCUGUUAAUGUUCAAAUUAUUUUAAUAUUAAUUAAAUAUUAAGGAAAAAUUAUAAUAUUGUAAUCACAUGUUCUAAAACUAUUAGUUUAAAAUUAUUUAAAAUCUUGAUAUUAUGAUUUUCACGUACUUUAAUAUCUAUGAGAAACAAUAAAAACCUACCCAGACUCAUUUGACGAUUUUGUUUAUGUUUAAAAUGUGUCUACGUCACAACAGUUUGUUCUUUGAUAUUUGAAACGGGAGUCUCGGUUGUCAUUAUUUGACAUACUGUAAGAUUAUUAGAAAAUUAAUUCAAGUCAAAUGAAUCGAGGCUAUCAUCGUAAACGAAUCACUUUCCUUAUAGUAGUUCAAGCACUCUCAAAUUGUCUUAGAGUUUCUACACAGGAAUAUCCAGGUUAAUUGAGGCUAUGUACGUAUUUUCUAAUGUAUUUUUCUGAAUCUGAAAUACUUAAUUUAUAGGCUAAAGUGUUGAUGUUUCACAAGGUUGUGACCCUUGAUGAAAGUCGACAACAGUUCAAAAUUGUUGCUACUUUUGAAUUUAAACAAACUGUCUAUUGCAACAGUUCACCAACCGUUGCCAAUUUUCAUAAACACCUUAUUGCAAGAGUUCACAAACUGUUGCUUGUUUUUGAAUUCAAAAGGCAAGUAGCCUAUUGCAAUUUUUACCAAACGUUGCAUUGUUUCGUCUACAGCAAAAUUUUUAUCAAAUAUUACAAUGUUUCGCAUUCUAUAACACUUCACAAAAUAUUGCAUUUUUCAAAUUUAAAAUACUUACUUCACAUGUAUAUUUUCUUUUCGUUUUGGCAUACACCCAUGGUGAUUAAUUACUCUUAAUUAUUAAUAAAUUACAAUAUUGCACGCAGGAAUAUGCAAGAUAAUUCAAUUUGUACUCAGGUUUGUAGAAGAUCGAUGAAAAUUCGAAUGUAAGAAAGAUGAAAUCCAAAAUAUUGUAUGAAGAGGAUAACUAAUGUAUUUUUUUGAAUCUGAAAUGCUCAAUUUAUAGGACAGAGUGGUGUUAUUCAAUAGGUUGCGAUCCUUGAGGAAACACAUACUUUCAGCAUCACUUUUCCUAAAUGUUGCAAGGUUUCGCAUACAACAACACAUUUUCAAACGUUGCACUAUUUUGCCUACAAUAAGAGUUUUCAAAAAUUGUAUUGUUUCAAAUUCUGCAAAAUUUCAAGAAAUAUUGUAUAUUUCUGAAUACAAAAUAAUUACCGUCUACUGCAACACUUCUCAAGUGUUGCCUAUUUCUGUAUUAAAAUAAUAACCUUCACUUUUAUAUUUUCUAAUUAUUUUAAAAUACACUCAAAAUUAUUAAUUGUUAAUAAUUUACGAAACGAAAUACCAAUGAUAUAAUAAGCACAAUAAAUUGACAGGGAUAUGUUGAAAAUUAUCUGCAGUGAUGUAAAAUGUGUAUUAAAUUAGUCAAUACAUGCAUGGCUUAGGAUUUAGGGUUUAAGUAGGUUCAAAAUCCUCGAACUUAUCAUUUUAAGUAGGUUCAAUCUAUAUAUUAUCUCUGAAAAAAUCACUUUUUAGAUUCAUAUGAUAAAUGUAUAUAUAUAUAUACAUAUAUGAACUAGAUACAUAGAUAAUUGAAUGAAUCUAAAAAUUGAAUUUUUUCUUAUAAUAAAGAUCAAAGAUAGUACCUGUAUUUCUAUAUAUCAGGAAAAGUGAAAUACAUAGAGUAAAGUGAGUGCAAUGUAAAAAAAAGUCGAAAAAUGUAUUUAACUAUUUAUUAUUCGGAAAAAAAAAGAAUCAAUUUACAUAUAAAAUGGGAGAAAACACAAACUUUUCUUAGUAUAUAAGAGAUAGCUACAUAACACUGAGAUAGGUUUUAUUGUCGGUAUAUUAUAAUUGAUCUCUUCUUAAACUGGCAUUAACGUCCAAAAUUUAAUAACCACAUAACAAUAUCAAUUAUUUUAAUUACUGUAUCAUUUUCUAAAUCUUAGGAUCAAUUUGAUAUAAACAGUAUAAGGUAUUUUUAUCAAAAAAAUUAAUAUCGCGUAUGUUAGAAUUUAUUUUUGCAAUAUUUUAAUUUCUAUGAAAAACAACAAUAAGAACGUACCUGAAUCUUUGAUGACGUUUAUUAUUUGUGAUUUUUGAUACAAAAACUUUGGUUGCCAUUACUUGCAAUACUAUAAGAUUGUUAAAAAAUUGAUUAUAAAUUUAAGCACUUUCAAAUCGUCUUAGAGUUUGUACGCAAGAAUAUGCAAGAUAAUUCAAUUUAUACUCGAGUUUGCAGAAGAUCGAUGAAAAUUCGAAUGUAAGAAAGAUGAAAUCCAAAAUUUUGUAUGAAGAGGAUGUGAUUUUCUAAUGUAUUUUUUUGAAUCUUAAAUGCUCAACUUAUAGAGAAAGGUGGUGUUAUCCAUUAGGUUGCAAGUCUUGAUGAAACACACUUUCAAAAAUAUUUUUGCUAAAUGUUGCACUUUUCGCUUAAAGCAAUACAUUUUUAAACUUUGCAUUGUUCCGCCUACAACAACAGUUUUAAAAAAUUAUACUGUUUCAAAUUCUACACUAUUUUAUGAAAUAUUUCUGAAUUCAAACAGUUUUAUGAUUUUUAAAAAUUGAAAUACAAAAAACUUAUUUGAUACAUUUGUUUCUCAAAACUAUUUCUAAAAAUACUUUUAAAAUUCAGUGUUUUAAAAUCUAAAAAACUGAAACUAUCAAAAUAUGUUUUGAUUUUCAAUUUUCAGUUUUACUUUACAAUUUUCAAUUGAGGUAAGAUGGAAAAAAAAUACGGUUUCAUUAAUCGGAUUAUAGUAAUUACUUGCAAUAUUUUUUAAUUGUAAUAUUUCACUCUCAAUCUAUUGUUAAUCCUCAUAUAUUGUUAAUGAAAUUUAAAAUUCUCACUCAAUUAUUCUCUCUCUAAUUAAUCCUCAUUAAGUGAAUAGUAUAUUUUUAUACAUUAAGUGAAUUGUGUAUAUAUAUUCAAACCAACACUCAAAUAUAAUUUUUAUACAUUAAUAUUCUCUCUCUAAUUAAUCCUCAUUAAGUGAAUAGUAUAUUUUUAUACAUUAAGUGAAUUGUGUAUAUAUAUUCAAACCAACACUCAAAUAUAAUUUUUAUACAUUAAGUGAAUUGUGUAUUUUAUCAUUAAUUAUUCAAAAUGUUUUAAUGAACUUAAAUGUAUAUUAGUUGAAUUUUAAUAUUUUCAAAAAAUAUAUCACAAUUAUUUUUAUUUAGUAAAACAGAUUUUUAAAAUAUAGAUUAUCAAACCAACUAUAUUGUCCUAUUUUAAAAAAAACAGUUUUUACAAAUUAUACUAUCAAACAUAUUUUUUCACUUUUUAAUUUUUAAAACAGUUUUCAAAAAUUGAAUAACCAAAUGAAUUCUUUUUAUUUUAUUUACUCAAAAACAAAUUUAUAAAAUAGAUUUGUAAAACAGAUUUUAAAAACUAAAAUUGAGAAGAGAUCAAAACAUGUCCUUACCGUCUACUGCAACACUUUUCAAGUGUUACUUAUUUAUGUAUUAAAAUAUUAAUUCACUUUCAUGUUUUCUGAUGAUUUUAAAAGACACUCAAAAUUAUUAAUUAUUAAUAAUUUACGGUACGAAAGACCAAUGAUAUAAUAAGCACAAUAAAUUGACAGGGAUAUGUUUAAAAUUCUUUGCAGUGAUGUAAAAUAUGUAUUAAAUUAGUCAAUGCAUGCAUGGCUCAAUAUAUCAUAAUAGGGAUUUGGAUUCUCUCCCGUGAAAAAAUCACUCGACUUGGUGUAAAUAUCUACCAUUCAAUUAUUGUUUUAAUAAUAUAACAAUAUAUCGUAUAAAAAGGCCGUUGUUGUGAUUCCACUGGAUAACAUAGUUUGCGGGAGAGGAUCUCUUCCCAUCAUAAUAGUGAGAUAGGUUUUAUUGUCGGCUAUAUUGUAAUUGAUCUCUUCUUAAAUUGGCAUUAUCGUCCCAACUAAGCAAAUGAUAGAUGGAUGAACCUAUUACUUUGAAUAAAAGAGAGAGAUGUUUAUUUUAUGGAUAAUAUAUAGAUUGUGAUAUGUUGAAAAUUCUUUGCAGUGAUGUAGCAGUCUGUAUUGAAUUAGUUAAUACAUGCACAAUGCUAAUACACAUCCACGUCUGCAUUAGCAUGAUAUACCUACUUAACUUGACCAAUAAAAACAUUUCUCUUUUCUUAUAAUUAAUUAAAUUUAAGUUAAAUAUGUAAUUUUUUAUCUUUUUGUUUUUCUCUCUCUUUGUCUAUAUUAAUGGUUAUUGAAGAAAAAAUACUUUAUUUAUGUGUGAUUUUUGCAUUUUAAUAAUCAAUUUUUUAAAAAUAAUAAUUUUAUAAUCAAGUUGUUACAUGUUUCUGAAAUACAAUAUAAAAGAACUUAUCUAAAUUUUUUUUCAAAAUAAUUUUUUUGAAAUAUUAUCGAAUAUUAAGAAUAUAAAAUUUAAUAUAAAUUGUUUCAUUAAAAAAAUUAUCACUAAAAAAAAUGGUAUUCAGUUCGACAUUAAUAAUUUAAUAUAAACUUUUUCAAAUGACCAAUAAUAUUUUUUUUACAAUCAAUUUAAAUAAAGGUUAGUAAUGUAAUAUUUACUAUUUUUUAUAUUUUCUUUCCUUGUUUAUAUUAGUGAUCUUUGUAGCAAAAACAAAAGAAAAAACACUUUGCGUGUGUGAUUUUGUGGCAUUGUACUGAUCAAUUAGUUUUCCUGAAAAGAUUCUAUAAUCAUGUUAGUAUAUGUUCUUGAAAUACAACAUAAUUUUUUUUAAUUCUUUUUAAAACAACUUAAUAAUAUCUUAAAUAAACAAAAAUAAUAAUUAAAAAAAAUGACUUUUUAUUGUUUUUUCCUUGAAAUACAACAUACAAAAUUUUAUAUUCAUUUUUUUAAUGAAGCAACUUUCCAGGAAAAUUAAUUCAACACAAGUAAUAUCAUUAAACAAUUAACUCUUAAAAUUAAAAUAUAAUUGAUUAUUAAAAUAUAAAAAUCACACAAAGAUAAAAUAUUUUUUCUUCAAGACCAACAGGGCAGCAGUCCUCCCGCUUGUUGCUGGGCUACUUGAAAGAUUUGAGUCUCAAGCAUCUUCUUGUGUGUAGUCAUGGCGUCAACCUUAUUCGGGAACUGUUUUAUUAACUCAUUAGUAUGAAUGUUCUGGUUCAUAAACUCAUUUUUUGUUGGGUAUGGGACAUGAAAAAAUUCACUUUCAUGAACUCCAUAUUAGACUUUUUAGAUGCAGAAGGAGCAGAAGUGGAUCCUUUAUCAUUUGAAUACCAGGGGGAGUAGUACAAGGGGGGCUUGGUGCAAAAAGAGCAUUGUUGUUCUUAUUGGAGAAAUUUGAAUGAUUCCUCCAUCAAGGAUUAUACAUGUUAGAGUAGGGAUAACCCCGCACAUAACUGACAUGGUCGUGGGAAGCCUCAAACAAUAAUUGACAGUCAAAUGUGACGUGUCCUUGGACUCCACAUAUCUCACAGAGGGGAGCUACUGCAGCUACGGUAGCCAUAGAAGUUAUGGUUAUGUUAUCAAUCUUCUACAUGAGGGCAUCUACCUUAGCAUUCACAUGAUCUAGGCCCUUCACUUCAUACAUACUACCAUUCAUUUGAGACAUUUCAACAGGGUUGCGCUCGCUACCCCACUAAUAAUGAUUUUGGGUCAUGUUUUCAAUAAGUUGGUAGGCUUCAUAGAAGGGUUUGUCCAUCAAAUCCCCUCAUUCCGCAACAUCAACUAUCAUCCUCGUGUAAUAGAGGAAACCAUUAUAGAAAGCGUGGAUAAUUAGCCACUACUCUAGGCCAUGACACAGACGAAGUGUCAUCAUAUCUUUGUACCUUUCCCAGACUUCAAAGAGGGAUUCUCCUUCAGGUUGUCUAAAACAAUUGAUUUGGUUUCUUAAAACAUCCAUUUUAGACGAUGGGAAAUAUCAGGCUAAGAAAACCAUUUUGAGCUCAUUCCAUGUAGUAAUGGAAUUAGUCGAGACAGGCUGUAGCCAAGCUAUGGCUCUAUCCCAGAAGGAAAAGGGAAAAAUACAUAAUGGAUUGGCUUCGGGAUCAAUGUCAUUACUCUUUAACGUGUCAGCAUAUUGAAGAAACACAGAAAGAUGCAUAUUGGGGUUCUUCGUAGAGUUUCCGGAGAACUGGUUCUAUUGCACGAUUUGCAGCAUAGAGAGUUUAAGCUCAAAGUUAUUAGCUUGAAUAUUUGGGGGAGAAAUGCUCAAAUGAGGCUCGUUAUGAUAUGGGAUAGCAUAGUCCUUAAGAGGACGCUCAUUAUUUAUCGCAUACAUUAGAGUGUUAUACUGGCCGCAAAGUUAUUCUAAUCGGCGCCUAAUUCGGAUAAAACGCUCGAUUUUGUUAAUUAGUUUCUCUAACUCGUCCACGGAUGAGCGGGUACUUGGCAUACAACCGAGAAAAUGAGAAUAAAAGAAUAAAAAGAAUGCUUUAGCCUAUACGGCGAAGCAGCAUGAUCAUGAUAUUGACUAAUGGUCCCCAACAACGGUGCCAAAAACGUAUAGGUCCGCAAGUGCACGGAAAUAUCGUAUUAAUAAAAAUAUAUCGAACCUACAAAGAUCAAAUGUCAAAUGUAUCGUUAUCUAUCACUACAGUGUAAAUCUAAGGCUAACAAUAAUAAUAAUUUAUGAUGCAAAAGAACUAAAAUAAGCUAGUUUAGAAAAUCAAUUAAAGACGUAGUAGACCAAAAUGCGGCUCUCAUCAACCAACUGUACUCGUAGAGUCAUAUUAAUUUAUAAUUAAAUUAGGAUAAUAUUUUCUCAAAAGAAAAUGAAUUAAUUUAAAGUAACUAUUCCCUUUCGCACAGUCGGAACCAGGAUUUAGCCUAAAAUCUAUACUGUCACUUUCGCAUGUUCAGCGUGUUAAGGUGCAAAACUUCUAUUUUUUUAAAAUUAAUUACUUUUAAUUAAUUGAGAAGUUGUUUACGGUAAAAAAAUAAGUUUAAAGGUAUUACAAGAUUUUCCUCGUCUAAUACCAUAUUUUAAGGGCAUAAACGCUCGCUUUCGCGCAUACGUUUAUGUUCUUAAAAUCCCUUUUUUGAAAAUAAUUAGUUUUACAAUUUAAAUAAAAUAUGUUUUCGCAAUGCAGUUAACUAAAAUAUGACUUUUCUCUAAGUCGGAUACAGGUUAUGUUCUUUAGAAUCGGAACCGAUAUCUCUAAAUUAUGCUUUCGCAAUGAAUAUUUUAAUUAAAAAUCAUUAAUUUUAUGACUAAAAUGUGAGCAUCAUCGAUACGAUGGUCCUCACAUUCUAGGCUCUAAGAAUUUAGUCGAACAUAUUAUUAACAAAGCAAAAACUAUAUUGAAAAUUAAAUUUAAAAAUGUUAAACAUUCUAAUUAUAAUAAUAAAUUAAUAGAGGCACAUGCAAGUAGUGAUGAAACAAAGUAGCAAACGCGAGAAAAACCUAAAAUUCAGUGAAUAUGUAAAUAAUAAAGAAAAGCUCCAAAAAUUAGUAUUGAAUAAUUGUUGAAUAAAAUUUCUAAAAUAUGAUGUCGGCAGGAUUACAACUUGAACGAUCCAAAUGUAAAUAUGAAAAUUGUAGAAUCUAAACAUCAUAAUGGACUUGCUCUAAACUUUCAUUGCUCCUGAUUCCCUAACUCUUGCCACUUCAAACGAUAUUGACCAUCUAGACCGUAAUUUCCUAGGAAAUAACCUUAAACUAGAGUUAAACAAUAAAACAAGCUCGCCUUCAUUAAAUACUCUAAUAGUUAUGUAAUUGUCGUGCCACUUAUUUUUCCUUUCCUUGUAGAUCAGGGCAUUCACAUACGCAUCCAAACACAACUCCUCCAGCUCUUACAAAUCCAACAUUCUUUUACUCCCAGUAGCAGUAUGGUCCAUAUUCAUGGUUUUGUGGCCUAAUAGGUUUUAUGCUCAAACUCCACAGGAAGAUGGCAAGACUUACCAUAAACAAGCUUAAAGGGGGUGGUUCCUAUAAGAGUCUUAGAGGUUUCCCUAUACGCCCAGAGUGUGUCUUUUAGUUUUGUAGACCGAUCCUUCCUAGAGGUGGAAACCGUUUUUUCAAGUAUCCUCUUAAUAUCUCAAUUAAAGAUUUCCACCUCUCUGCUGGUUUGCGGAUGGUAAGGGGUUGCAACUUUGUGCCUAAAUCCAUAUUUGGUCAACAGGUUAUUGAAACAUUUCAAGAUGAAGUGUGAGCUGCCAUCAUUGAUAACUAACCCGGGGGUACCAAAUCUAGGGAAAAUAUUUUUUUAAACAUCUUAAUAACCACAAGUGCAUCAUUUGUAGGAGUCGCCAUCACUGAUAACUAACCCGGGGGUACCAAAUCCUUGGCGAGCACAAUUAUCUAUUUCUUUCAUUUUUUCACAUUUAUCUAUUUCUCACCUUUUUCACAUUUAUCUAUUACUCACCUUCUUCACACUUAUCUAUUAACCCCCCCCCCCCCUUUCGCGAGUAAUCUCCAGAUAAUAACACCCAUUCUUAAAAAGAACAUUCAAAAAGGUUCCCAUGGGGUAUCAUGGAUGUUAGGGGUGCUAAUACCUUCCCCUUGCAUAACUGACUUCCUUACCCAUUUCUUUUUCCCCCGGGGUUUAUCGAUGUUUUCCCUUUCCUUCGGGAAUAAAUAAAUUUCGAUGAAGACUAUGUUGUAUCUUUGAGCGUUCUACUAUGAACGACGCUUAAGCCUCCAUGUGCGAGCAAGCAAUGUUUAACUACUAGAGUGUGAUCCGAGUUCAUCCAUUCUACUGCAAACAGACAAACGCUUAAAGCUCCCAUGCUCGAGCAUACAAGUCAGUAGACAGUAGAACACGAACGUUAAUACUGUCCAUUAAAAACAACUAAGGCAACUGUCCUAGUUCCACGAACUACGGAGCUCUGAUUUCCUCAUUGCACGAACGAGGAUACUUAGACACGAGGGCCCAAAUCCUUGGCGAGCACAAUUAUCUAUUCCUUUCAUUUUUUCACAUUUAUCUAUUUCUCACCUUUUUCACAUUUAUCUAUUUCUCACCUUCUUCACACUUAUCUAUUAANUAAUUAUUAACCUUGUUCCCCCUUUCGUGAGUAAUCUUUAGAUAAUAACACCCAUUCUUGGAAAGAACAUUCAAAAAGGUUCCCAUGGAGUAUCAUGGAUGUUAGGGGUGCUAAUACCUUCCCCUUGCAUAACCGACUUCCUUACCCAUUUCUCUUUCCCCUGGGGUUUAUCGAUGUUUUCCAUUUCCUUCGGGAAUAAAUAAAGUUCGAUGAAGACUAUGUUGUAUCUUUGAGCGUGCGAUGCGCCCGGGUAUAAUUCAUGUAGCUUCAAAUUGGAUGAAUAGAUGCUUUCAUAUUUUCAUCCGUACGCAAACUAUGAAAUUGCUCCUUCAACAACAACUGUUAUGAAAUACAUUUUCUUUGAUAUAUCCCUUCAAGUUUCUCCCAAAUUUCUUAAGUGACGACAUACAAAGAACAUUCGCAAGAAUAUUACCUGCCAAAGACAUGUAUAUUAUACUAAAAGCUCUCAAAUGUAGUCCUUCCACUUCACGUUGUCCAUAUUGAAAAUAUUUCUUUUCAAUGUUAGAAACAUAUCAAUCUAUUAUACAAUUAUACCAUUAAAUAUGCUAAAUCAAACAACCGGAACACAAAGAUUACCCUUAGGAGUUGGUGCUAAACUGUCAUAAUACACAACCACUUCAUCAGCAGCUAUCUAGAUCUUACUCCAUUCAACAUGUUAUGCUUCUCCACUGUGAUCAAUGAUUCAAUGCAUUGAGAGAAAAAUUACCAAACCAAUAAUAAUAAUAAUAAUAAUAAAAUCAUGAACAUCUUAGCAUAGUUACAAGGGUGAACAUAUUCGAUUGAAGAAUGAAGAUCAUGAAUGGUGCUAACAAAAAAGUGAUUUGCACUUGAGAUAACGAGUAACGAGGUUGAUGAAACUGCUCUUCUCAUUUUUGCUGCAUGUGACAUGUUCAAAAUAUAUAAAAAUAUUAACAGUAAGAAAUUUCGAUUGGCGAUGACGAGAAUCGUUCGAUUUAAACGAGAAAGGAUAUGAAUGACGAGAAUCGUUCAAAAAAUUUAUACCAUUUAUUUAUAUUGUUUUUCAAAAAAAAUAUACCUUCUAUUUUUUUUUUUCAAAAUUUUUAUACCUUUUAUUUAUUUUAUUUUUUUGAAAAUGAAAAAAUUAAAUAAAUACAGUAUUUUAAAAUAAAGAUAUUAACUUGGAGAAGUAAUUAUUUUUUAAUCCAUAUUAAAUUCUACCACUACAAGAAAAAUUGUCUCCAACCACGUGAUGUAGUGAAGUGAGAAUUACGUGACAAAAAAAAGGGAGUUGCGACGUGAAUAUCAUGUGGCUAAGUAUUUUUAUUAUUAAAAAAUUGAGACUGCUGCAUGCGCAUGAGAAAGACAUGAAAAUUUUUAAAACAAAAUGUUGUGAUGUUUUAAUCACAUCGUAGAUUUAAAAAUAAAAUAAAAAAGUAAAAGAAGUCAGGCGUGUAUACAUUAACUUGUUCCCUACUAGUGUGACUACUAGACUUUUAAAGCCUAUCGACAUGAUCUUACAUUGGGUUGUUUCGCAUGUUAUUCUCCCUAAGAAGGGAGGUUACUCCAUAGUUGGCAAGGAGGAAGUACACUUGAUUUAUGUGUUGAAACAUAUGCUGAAGGUUAACUGGACACACUACAUUGCAAGCAGGAUUUUUUCCCUAAAGGAGUCAGGUCGAGGCAUCGCUCUUUGCUAUCCUUCGUUUAUUCAAGGUAUUCUUAAUCCGGCUGAGGUUUUUGUUGCAGGAAUUCAAUACACCUAUGUGCCUACUAAUCAAGAAUCCUGUCAAAAAUCACUAAGUUUAACGGGCUAUAUUUGGGAUCCUAUAGCGCAAGUAUACAAGGUCCGAACUCAAGCUUCAAGUUCUAGCAUUCAGCACUUUGAAGAUGAUGAUGAUGAUGAAAAUUAAGAAGAGACUGAUGAUGAUGAUGAUGAUACUCACCCCAUGGAGGAUGAUCAACAAGUUAAUGACCAUGGAGAUUGGCUAGGUGGUACACUUGGACAAAAUCCACCUGAUAACCAAGGCUGGGGAGAGUGGCAACACACCGGCUGGACCAGCCUACGAUCUUCUUAUAUGCCUCAAUCUCCUCCUCAAUCUGAUAAUUCUGAAGUAAUGGAGUUGUUGAGAAAUAUACAAAUUCCUCACCAAAAUUUUUCCACACUUCAAGAGGAGAGAUUUAUGGCUUUGCAAGGUCAGCUUCAGACUCAAAGUGACAAUUUGCCUCUUUUGCAACUCUCCAAGAGGAACGGUACUUAGCCUUAAGGGGUCAGAUUCAAAUCCAAAGUGACAAUUUUAAUUUAUUUGCCUCCAUAAUUACGCAAAAGAUUGAUACUAUGGGUUCCAAUCAUCGCUCUCUCACCGGAUCUUUCAAUACUCUUCAAUGGAACUUCAUUGAAUUCAUUGACCUCUAUGAACAAGACAAAGUCCCACAUCACCCUUCUGUUUAUAGAAGCAAAAAUGACCCAUCACGGGAGAGAAGACCUUAGAAGAUUGAUUCAUUUAGAUUUCGUCCAUGUAGUGCAUUUCAUCUUCUUCAUGUUUGCAUGUUAUUGUGUUUAGUUUAUUUGUCUUGGAACUUAUGUUGAACAAAAUUGGCUAGGUAGUGUACUAAAUUUGCCUUAGAAGACCUUGUCUCUUUUUGAUGUUGUCAAAGUGGGAGAAGCAAUGGAAACACAACUUAUGAUUAUGAUAGCAUAUUUUUUUUUCAAAGAAAUGCAUAAAAUCAGAGGGAGGAUGUCUAUCAAAGUACGCGAUAUAUGAAAGAUUGUGCCACAAUUUGCCAUCAUCAAAAAGGGGGAGUAUGUGAGGGAAAAGGUUUUUAGUCCUUGUUUUAAUGAUGUAAAACAUUUUAGUAGAUCAUACUGUGUACUUUGGACGGUGUCAUCAUAUCGUAGAGUGCAUUCAUUUUUUAACAUGCUCAAAGUAUCAAUUCAAUGUGUCUAUGCAUAUAGGAGUAUCUCAUAUAUGUCAAUAUUGCACUUGAUCAUUGUUGGUACCUUAAGUCCAUAAGAGAAUUGUUUGGAUUGACCAAAAUACAUCUUAAAAACUCAUUUUUGACCAUUUAAAAUCUUUGGGUCGACUCAUGCUUUGGAGCGGUCGACUCAUUCAUGUAUGUCAUUUUCUUUGCAACUCACGGGUCUGAUCAGGUCGAUUCAUAGGUCGACUCACUUCUGGAAAAACAAGAUGAGUUGACUCAUCUCUUUAUUGCAGUCGACUCAUAACCUGUUUUAUUUUAACUGUAUUGUUGCGGGUCUGAACAGGUCGAGCCCCUAGUGUGAACAGGUCGAGUGGUUUCUGAUUUAACUCAUUUUUCUGCUGUGUAUUUUUGCUAAAAGUUUUGCUGUGUUUUUCACUUAGUCUAUACAUCAUAUAUAUAUAUAUAUAUAUAUAUAAUAAAUAUUAAUAUAUAUAUAUAUAUAUAUAUAUAUAUAUAUAUAUAUAUAUAUAUAUAUAUAUAUAUAUAUAUAUAUAUAUCAUAUAUAUAUAUAUAUAGAAGUAUAUAUAUUAUAUAUAUAUAUAUAAGUGAAAGAUAUACACUAAAGUUCCUCUUCAUCUUCAUUCUUCAUUGCAUGUUUCAACAACUACACAUAACAAUUUUUGUUGAUCAUAAUGCAUUCUUGUGGUGAUAACAUCCAAAUAGGAUUGUGUAUCUUGGUUUGGGUAGAGGUUUUUAGUGGGGUUUUCUUGAAUAAAAUAUUAGGGUUUUGUACUCCAAGAUUUGGGGGUUCUUGCAUAAAUCUUUGCUUCAUAGAUUCAGUCGAGUGAAAGAUUUGAAGAACAGUGGGUUCAUUAAAACGAGUAACGGUAACCCGAGGAUUGUGAAUAAAGGUUUGGGUUCAAGCGUGUCACGAUCGAAAUCAGCCGAUCUAGAGUUUUUGAGAACUUGGAGUUCUUGCAAUAAAGUAGCUACAAUCGGAGAUUGUUCAAAAUGUUUGAAGCACUUGGUUCAACUCGAAUCAAGGGGAGAGAAGUGAAUAGGAUCUACAACAACACUUAGGUUUGCUUAGUGGUGAUUAUUUUUUCUCUUGUAUAAACUUUUCAAUUGAUAAUAAAUAUCUCAAUUCUAGUUUUAGAAUUGGGGGAAGAUGUACCCGAAGCGAGGACGAAAAGGGAACUGCUUAAACAAAUUAGGUGUUGUUCUCUCUUUCUCUAACUCUUUAAUUUCUGCAUAAAUUAAAUUUUGUGUGAAACUAAUUGGUAACUUCAUCUCGCUUAAUUGUUAUGCAUUAAAGUUGUUUAAUAAAUUGUUCCAAUCACUUUGGUUCUAACUAAGGAAAAUUCUGCAUAAUCAAUUCUAGUGAAAUUAAGACUUGGUGUAGUAUGCACACUAAGUGUUUGCCAAAAUUAACUUCACAUAAGUUUAUCAAUAUUUUGCUUAUUUUCUAAUUGUUUUAAUUAAUUAGUGGUGGUUGCUAUAUCAAGGAUUCGUGUAUUUAAUCGAUUGAUUACGAUUGUUGUUGAUUAGCUUUAUCUUGGUCAUUCCAUUAGGUUUCAUGCAUAUCCGAUCUUUCCAGUAACUGACCGUUUAGACUAUCGUUGUCUAGGGAGCUCUCGCAACCUAUAAAAACAAUUUUUAAAAGCGCCAAAAUUUUAAAUACGUGAUCUAUUCAACUCCCCUUCCCCCUUCUAGAUCACUAAUAUCAUCUAACAGAUGAAUCCUACUGACUGAUUCGGUUUGUCUUCCAUUGAGAGGUUCCCUACGUUCUUUAGAAGAGCAUUAGGAAUGGGAUUGUAGGCUGCAUAGUUAGGAGACAACAUGGGGUUUCUACUGUAUUUAUUUUUUCAGAUUACUUCAUAAUUUUUUUGUCAUAUUCAGGUUAUUUAAGCCAUGGUCCAAACGGGUUUUAAGCAUUAGGGUUUGUACUAUUUUGAUAGGUUUGCCUGCAGUACUCUUCAUUGUGUCUGAUUAUUCCACAGUUAAAACAUAAGCUUGGUUGUUUCUCAUAUUAAAUGUUUAUCCAAGUAGUACCAUCUUUAACACUCGCAAUGUGCAUGCUUGGCUUUAGGGCAUUAGAGAUAUCCAGGAAAAUCUUAACCUUAACAAUGGUGAUCCUUUUAGGAUACAUAAACAUUUCAGAUUCUAAAACUUCUCCCAGCUUAGCUCCAAUUUUAACACCCAUUUGUUUAGAUUUGAUUUUAGCAGAAAUUCCCUAAAUCUAAACCCAUCUUGGGAUCCAAUUGAAAGCAGUUUGGCUCAGGUUGGAAUCAGAAUUCAAAGGGUGGACCGCUAACCAAAUCUUACGAAACAACUAAGGAUUGCCUUUGAGAAUCCACUUAACAUCUAUAGGGAUAUCCAUUGUGAUUAUGAAUAUUUCAACUUCGACUUCAUAAAUUCUUAACCAUGCAGGAUCACACCAUAUCCCUGCUAGACCUAAAUUGUCGAGUUCUGUGUAAAGGUUUGUCGGAAAGAAAUUUCCCAAGGAUCACAUUGUAUGUUUCUUUAAAAUCUUUAUGCAUAUCAUCAUCGUCCCACCAAAAAAAUAACAUUUUCUUCUUCUUGGUCCGCAUAACCGUGACUUUUUGAUUUAGUGAUAUUGUUAAUGUUUCUUUUUCAUGCAGGUUGAAACUUUGAUUGAUACAAACAUACCCCAACUUACAAUUUUGGGGAAUCAAAAACGGAGAAGAAGGAUGAUUGCUGACAACUAGUGACAACCUCAUAUUUUCUUCCACUAAUGCAGAACCAACGAGUGCAAAACGUUGACCUUGAGGUCAGACAAGAAGCAAUCACACAAGAUCGCUCCAAAAACAUGGUAGCAACCCUGAACUAAGAGAACAUAAUAGAGAUGAGAGAAAGAUAUAGAUAAGAGGAAAUCACCAAACAAAGGACGCAAUCCUGCAAACAUACCAAAAGGGAGAAAAGAAUUGAGACACACCACAAAUAUAUUUUACUUAUAAUUCAUUAACCAAGAUAUUACUUCAUUAACCAAUAAAUUACAUAUAUUUAACCAAGUUCUGACAUUAAAAUAUGAAAUGUAAUAAUCAGUGUUUACACACCAUUUAUCAAUCCUAUUUGAUAUAUUUCAUAUAUUAAUAUAUGAAAUAUAUCAAAUAAGAUUGAUUAACACAAAAACAAAUAUUGUGAAAUGUCUUUUAAUAAAUACCAAAAAAAGUUAUUAUCACGGUUAAUUGUAAGACCAUUGUAAAAUGGCUGUUAUGAAAUGUCUAUUUUAUAAUAGUGAUUUCAUAAUUUAAUAUAAGAUAGUGGUUAAUAGAGUGUAAAAAUUAAUUAUUAUAUUUUAUAUUUUAAUGUCAGGUUAACGUUAUGGAUUUUAUUAGUUAAUGAAAGUAGUAAAUUUUGUUAAUGAAUUAUAAGUAAAAUAUAUGGUUAAUAACAUAUAUUUUUAUGGUUAAGGCAAUUAUAAAAUUGAUUAAUGAUAAACUUUAUAUUUGUAUUAUACAAAUAAUUUUAAAAAUAAAAAUAUAUUUUAUAAAUAUUAAUUUUUUAUUUAUAAAGAAAAUUAUUCAUUGAUUAAUGCUAUAGUAGAUAUAUGGAAUGUUGUAAGAAUAGCAUUGUUACAUUUGGUGGCUAGAAUUAAAUAUCUUGAAAAGCUCCACUAGUAUACUCCCCGCCCCCACGUUAUUGACUCUUCUCCAUGAUGAGAAUACAAACUUGAUUAUGGUUUCUUUUAUCUUCAAAAACUUCAUUGUCAUAUUUAUUGUGAUGUCUCUUACUAGUCAAGUCCUUUGGGGCUAUAUAUAAGUGUCUUACAAGCAUCACAUAUAUCAAAAACACACAACAUAUUAAGUGAAGUGAAUCAUAUAUAUAUUAAAUCUAUAUUCAUCAUCACUACUUAAGUUAUGGAGAAGAAAUCACUAGCUGCCUUGUCCUUCCUCCUCCUCGUUCUCUUUGUUGCUGCAUUAAUUAAGUAGUAAAAAUCAUAUAAUUAAUUAAUAAUUAUAAUGCAUUUCUUAUACAUUUAUCAUUUUAUCUUUCAAACAGAAUCGACAAAUUAAUAAAUAUCUAUACAUAAUUAUAAUCUACUAUUGUUUUUAAUUGUGCUUAUGGAUGCAGAAGAAAUUGUGGUGACAGAGGCAAACACUUGUGAGCAUUUGGCAGAUACAUACAGGGGAGUAUGCUUCACGAAUGCUAGCUGUGAUGAUCACUGCAAGAACAAAGCGCACUUAAUCAGUGGCACGUGCCAUGACUGGAAAUGUUUCUGCACUCAAAACUGUUAAAGCAGUUAUAAAUAUAAUAAUAUAAAUAAAUAAAAUGCAUGCAGUUAUAGCAACUACCGCUGUAUCUGUGUAUAACCUACUAGUUAUGCACUUUUAUCUUAUGGAAUAAAACUUUAAUCAAUAAUUGCCUUGGCCCAUUUUCUUUUUCAUUUAUGGUAUUUGUGCAAAAACUGGAAAAUAUUGCAUUUAUAUCUUUAUUGCUGAGAGAGUAACGACAAAAUAAUAAUUUGGAUAAAUUCUUAUCGUAA